rnacentral:rRNA from 1 species
GAUGAACGCUGGCGGCGUGCCUAAUACAUGCAAGUCGAGCGAACAGACGAGGAGCUUGCUCCUCUGAUGUUAGCGGCGGACGGGUGAGUAACACGUGGAUAACCUACCUAUAAGACUGGGAUAACUUCGGGAAACCGGAGCUAAUACCGGAUAACAUGUUGAACCGCAUGGUUCAACAGUGAAAGACGGUCUUGCUGUCCCUUAUAGAUGGAUCCGCGCCGCAUUAGCUAGUUGGUAAGGUAACGGCUUACCAAGGCAACGAUGCGUAGCCGACCUGAGAGGGUGAUCGGCCACACUGGAACUGAGACACGGUCCAGACUCCUACGGGAGGCAGCAGUAGGGAAUCUUCCGCAAUGGGCGAAAGCCUGACGGAGCAACGCCGCGUGAGUGAAGAAGGUCUUCGGAUCGUAAAACUCUGUUAUUAGGGAAGAACAAAUGUGUAAGUAACUAUGCACGUCUUGACGGUACCUAAUCAGAAAGCCACGGCUAACUACGUG